AAGCGAUUAUACAGUAAUAUAUGUAAAAUAUAUUGAAUUAUUUAUACACAGGUGAAAAUUGUUUACAUUUAUUUGAUUGAUGCACAUUGAGACAUGCACCAAUAAACCAAAAAUAAUUCCUUUUUGUAAAACUUACUUGGCAAUAAAUAUCUUUCUGAUUCUGAUUAGGUUUUAAAAUAGAUAUUUAAUACAGGGUAUGAACAAUUUAGCAGAAUAAAUUGAUGAAGUUAGACUUUUCACCAAUGCCUGUAUCAGUGAACAGUGAAAGACAUCUGCAACAUGGCCAAAAUAUCGGGUAGCCUAUACUUUAAUUAUUUUUUAUUAAUUUGCAACCAUGGUGAUAUCUAUCAUAAACAUGAAAAUCCCUGUUUUGACGUGAAGGAUAAACUCAAUGAAAAAGCGAAAUUAUCCUCUGGUUUCACAGUUGCGCAGAAAUUUCGUUUAUGUCUACAUUUUUUCCAACCUCGAUUUCUUUUGUUAUUUUACCUUUUACAGGUUUUGCAAUUUGACCUGUACAAAUGUUUAAGAAAGUGUUAAAGUCCCUGUAAAGGUAAUACAAAAAAUCUAAACACAUUAUAAAUGUUAAAAAUGUAUUGCUAAAACACAUGACAAAGACUGAACAGUGAAGUUCCGCUGUCGCCAAAUCUGUUUCCGGUUUACUUGCGCGUCGCUUAAAAUGUCUGUUUUUACUCGACGUCUCCAGAAUCUUCCGAAAAUACGCGUCAGCGAUGUUCAUCGCAUUGUUGAUGCCUGGUCCCCUGCUCCGACAAGCAAGAGGGACAAGGGCUUUAAACUCUACAUAUCGAGUUAUCUGCACAACUACAAGGGUAAGUAUUUUAAUCUAAUGUGGUGUGCCGGCAGAUAGCGGCUAAGCUAGUUCGCCACGUGUUCAUUUUUAAUGUAACGUUAGUAUAGAAGCUUGUUUUUCUUAGUUUUAAAGCAGACUGUUUGUUAAUUUUUGUGAUAAUUGUGAUAUAAAUUAUAUUAACUUGGUCUCCUCUCAGUUUCUAAUAAAGAUCAGGACACCGGUGAAGUCACUGUCAGGGCAUUGUGUUACAGAUCCAUGAGAAAAUCAGAUAAACCUCACAGUUGAGUGUAUGGUGAAGCUAGAAUUAAUAAGACCGCAGUUAUAGGCUUGUUACUUUAAUAGCCCGAUGUUCCUGGGGACUCGGCUAAGGUUAUUCAUGAUUAAUGUAACUCAAAUGAAAACAGUUAUUGUAGGCAGGUAAGUUUCCCUAGCUGGUCCCCUCUGUGUAAAAUGCGUUCUUAUUCAAGUUUUCAACUCAGUCAUUCGUUUAAGAUGCAAUCUUGUGUUAUAAGUAUUAGGCUAUCAUGAUUAUACAGUGAGCAAGCUAUAUAAAUAAGUAUUUAAUAUAAUAAGUGUAGAGCAACAACCGAGGGUGUAAGGUAAAGGCUGAAUAUUGUAGAUUUAUUACAAUAUGUUGCAUGUUUGAAUUAAAAUACCUGUGGAUAUGCAGGAGCACACACUCUACAAAAGCCUGACUGGAGAUUUGCCUGAUCUAUCCGUCCUUCAGAUGACAGCUGCUCGCUUCAAGAGCAGGUGAAGCAAGUUGGGACAAUGUUGAAGACAUUUGCUCGCACUGGGCAAUCGGGUGCAGAUCAAACCCUAAUGCUGCGGCGUCUUGGGAGUUUGGCGAUGUUGUGCGUAGCAUGGACGACAAAAUGCUAUGCUGCAACGUUUCAGUGCCAAUGUGUCUGUUGGAGAGUUAUCCCUGACAGGGGAUCUGUUACUCCCCCCUAGACACCCAGGAACAUUUGGCGUUGCUUGACAACAGUUUGAGGCAGGAUAAAGAGCUCCAGCAACGAUUUCUUCGGUUUUUGGCAAUCAAAUGUGGGAGGGACCUAAAGACAACCGUGUGGCGAAUGCUUCAGAGUAUCUUCUCUAAUCACCUUUCCAUCAAUACAACCUGGACUGGUGUAGGGGAUAAAGCAUGUUUUAGAGACAUGUUCCUGAAGACCAUUGUUCAAAGAGCCAUCCGGAAGAACCCGGCAACACAGGAUGCCACUGAUGAGGCGAUCCAGG